UACCAGACUCCUACGGGAGGCAGCAGUGAGGAAUAUUGGUCAAUGGGCGCGAGCCUGAACCAGCCAAGUCGCGUGAGGGAGGACGGCCCUACGGGUUGUAAACCUCUUUUGCCGGGGAGCAACGGGCGUCACGUGUGGCGCCACUGAGAGUACCCGGAGAAAAAGCAUCGGCUAACUCCGUGCCAGCAGCCGCGGUAAUACGUAGGGUGCAAGCGUUAUCCGGAUUUAUUGGGCGUAAAGGGCUCGUAGGCGGUUCGUCGCGCCCGGUGUGAAAGUCCAUCGCUUAACGGUGGAUCCGCGCCGGGUACGGGCGGGCUUGAGUGCGGUAGGGGAGACUGGAAUUCCCGGUGUAACGGUGGAAUGUGUAGAUAUCGGGAAGAACACCAAUGGCGAAGGCAGGUCUCUGGGCCGUUACUGACGCUGAGGAGCGAAAGCGUGGGGAGCGAACAGGAUUAGAUACCCCAGUA
rnacentral:rRNA from 1 species